CAAGUCACUGGGUCCAGGACUUGAACUGCACUGUCAACCAUGUGGAAUCACUUGGUCAUCAGACCUUAGGCUGGUCUUAAGAUGGGAUGCUCCGGUGCUUUCAGAUGAGCCUUCCACUGUCACAGUCAAUGGCCAGGAACAGAAUAAGCUCUGGAGUGUAGGCUCUAGAACGUUUUGUUCCAAGAUUGGAUCCUGGAGAGAGCAGACCACGGGGUGAUGCAGGCACUGGGCUUCCCACAUGGCCGG